rnacentral:tRNA from 1 species
GGAGGGAUGGUUGAGUGGUUUAAGGCAUCGGUCUUGAAAACCGAAGUACCGUCAAGGUACCGUGGGUUCGAAUCCCACUCCCUCCG